UACAGAGGGGGCAAGCGUUGUCCGGAAUCAUUGGGCGUAAAGCGCGUGUAGGCGGUCCGGUAAGUCGGCUGUGAAAGUCCAGGGCUCAACCCUGGGAUGCCGGUCGAUACUGCCGGACUAGAGUUCGGAAGAGGCGAGUGGAAUUCCCAGUGUAGCGGUGAAAUGCGUAGAUAUUGGGAAGAACACCGGAGGCGAAGGCGGGUUGCUGGGCCGAUACUGACGCUGAGGCGCGAAAGCCAGGGGAGCAAACGGG
rnacentral:rRNA from 1 species